UACGGAUCUUCGAAUCGAAAAAGUUUUUGACACAAAACGAAAUGAACGAUGCAUUUCGAUUGAAAAUAUUUAAUCAUACUCGCAGUGUUCACGGACAGUCCCGAGUCUGAUGACAUUUUGUAAGUGCACGGUGCAGCUAUCGUGGCCGUGCGUUUUGACGACUUCGACUUUCGAACGUCUUCCCAACCGUUUUCACGCUCAGAUUCUAUGUUUUCACAGGGAAUGGCCGGU